rnacentral:rRNA from 1 species
GGUGAACGCUGGCGGCGUGCUUAAGACAUGCAAGUCGAACGCAGUCUUCGGACUGAGUGGCGCACGGGUGAGUAACACGUAACUGACCUACCCCCAAGUCGCGGAUAACUGGCCGAAAGGUCAGCUAAUACGUGAUGUGAUGUCCCCUUUCUGGGGGGCCAUUAACGGUUUACUGCUUGGGGAUGGGGUUGCGUUCCAUCAGCUAGUGGGCGGGGUAAAGGCCCACCAAGGCAACGACGGAUAGCCGGCCUGAGAGGGUGGCCGGCCACAGGGGCACUGAGACACGGCUCCCACUCCUACGGGAGGCAGCAGUUAGGAAUCUUCCACAAUGGGCGAAAGCCUGAUGGAGCGACGCCGCGUGAGGGAUGAAGGUUCUCGGAUCGUAAACCUCUGAAUCAGGGACGAAAGACGCGUAAGCGGGAUGACGGUACCUGAGUAAUAGCACCGGCUAACUCCGUGCCAGCCGCCGCGGUAA